rnacentral:rRNA from 1 species
CCUACGGGAGGCAGCAGUGAGGAAUAUUGGUCAAUGGACGAGAGUCUGAACCAGCCAAGUAGCGUGAAGGAUGACUGCCCUAUGGGUUGUAAACUUCUUUUAUAUGGGAAUAAAAUGUUCCACGUGUGGGAUUUUGUAUGUACCAUAUGAAUAAGGAUCGGCUAACUCCGUGCCAGCAGCCGCGGUAAUACGGAGGAUCCGAGCGUUAUCCGGAUUUAUUGGGUUUAAAGGGAGCGUAGGUGGAUUGUUAAGUCAGUUGUGAAAGUUUGCGGCUCAACCGUAAAAUUGCAGUUGAAACUGGCAGUCUUGAGUACAGUAGAGGUGGGCGGAAUUCGUGGUGUAGCGGUGAAAUGCUUAGAUAUCACGAAGAACUCCGAUUGCGAAGGCAGCUCACUGGACUGCAACUGACACUGAGGCGCGAAAGCGUGGGGAGCAAACAGGAUUAGAUACCCCAGUAGUC